AACCUUUGCAAUGCGCGAAAGCGCGACAGGGGAACUCCGAGUGUCGGCACUUCGGUGUCGACUGUUGCGGAUUCUAAAACGAUCCGUCAGAAAGGGCUGGGUAAGACGGGUGCCAGCCGCCGCGGUAAUACCCGCGGCCCGAGUGGUGGCCGCUUUUAUUGGGCCUAAAGGGUCCGUAGUCGGCCCGGUGCGUCCCGGGGGAAAUCCGGCCACUCAACGGUCGGGCUUCUCCGGGAUACGGCCGGGCUUGGGACCGGGUGAGGGCAGGGGUACUCCGGGGGUAGCGGUGAAAUGCUGCGAUCCCCGGGGGACCACCCGCAGGGAAGCCGCCUGCCCAGAACGGGUCCGACGAUGAGGGACGAAAGCCAGGGGAGCAAACGGGAUUAGAUACCCCGGUAGUCCUGGCCGUAAACGAUGCGGGCUUUGUGUCAGGUUCGCUGCGAGUGAACCUGGUGCCGUAGGGAAGCCGUUAAGCCCGCCGCCUGGGGAGUACGGUCGCAAGGCUGAAACUUAA
rnacentral:rRNA from 1 species